rnacentral:rRNA from 1 species
UACGGAGGGGGCUAGCGUUGUUCGGAAUUACUGGGCGUAAAGGGCGCGUAGGCGGCGCGAUAAGUUGGGCGUGAAAGGCCCGGGCUCAACCCGGGGACUGCGCUUGAUACUGUCGCGCUGUGAGUCCGGGAGAGGAUGGCGGAAUUCCCAGUGUAGAGGUGAAAUUCGUAGAUAUUGGGAAGAACACCGGUGGCGAAGGCGGCCAUCUGGACCGGCACUGACGCUGAGGCGCGAAGGCGUGGGGAGCAAACAGGG